rnacentral:misc_RNA from 1 species
UCCGGUUUGUCACCGGCAGUCUGGCGUGAGUCCCCAACUUAAUGCUGGCAACACGCCACGGGGGUUGCGCUCGUUGCGGGACUUAACCCAACAUCUCACGACACGAGCUGACGACAGCCAUGCAGCAUCUGUGGUGCACCCUCGAAGGUCACACGUUUCCGUGCGCUUGCAGCACCAUGUCAAGUCCAGGUAAGGUUGGGAUGACGUGCCAAGGUUGGUU